GGCCUGGUGGUCUAGUAGUAUGAUUCCUUGUUAGGGUUGUCGCUGAUUUCGAGGAGGUCCCGGGUUCAAUUCCCGGCCAGGCCC